UACGUAGGGCGCAAGCGUUGUCCGGAUUUAUUGGGCGUAAAGAGCUCGUAGGCGGUUCCGUAAGUCGUGAAGUCAAAUCUCUGGGCUCAACCCAGAAUCGCUUCCGAUACUGCGGUGACUGGAGUCCGGUAGGGGAGUGUGGAAUUCCUGGUGUAGCGGUGAAAUGCGCAGAUAUCAGGAGGAACACCAACAGCGAAGGCAGCACUCUGGGCCGGUACUGACGCUGAGGAGCGAAAGCGUGGGGAGCGAACAGG
rnacentral:rRNA from 1 species